UCCUGGUUAACCCAGGCAGUCUCACUAGAGUCCCCACCUAAAAUGUUGGCAACUAAUGAUAAGGGUUGCGCUCGUUGCGGGACUUAACCCAACACCUCACGGCACGAGCUGACGACAGCCAUGCAGCACCUGUGCAGCGGCCCCGAAGGGAAGUACCAUUUCUGGUAUUGUCCACUGCAUGUCAAGUCUGGGUAAGGUUCUUCGCGUUGCAUCGAAUUAAACCACAUGCUCCACUGCUUGUGCGGGUCCCCGUCAAUUCUUUUGAGUUUCACCCUUGCGAGCGUACUCCCCAGGCGGUAUACUUAACGCGUUAGCUCCGGCACAGCUAGGGUUGAGCCCAGCUACACCAAGUAUACAUCGUUUACGGCAAGGACUAC
rnacentral:misc_RNA from 1 species